CUGUCACUGAGGAGUCCCAUAAUAGGACGAAAUAACCGUCAAACAG
rnacentral:hammerhead_ribozyme from 1 species